CCUACAGCACAGGUAGCAAGCAGCAGCACCCAGCAGCCAGCAGCUUCCUCCAGAAGCCCCUUAGGUGGCUUUGGAGCAAGUGCCUCUAAUGAGUCACCUCCCUCAGCAGCUUUCCUUGGAACCCCAGAGAAUGGAUUUCCAACGAGUUCUGGAAUGUGGAUUUCUAGCAAGUUCCAGAAGGCAGAAUUCUAGCAGGGCUCUCCUGCUAUUCAGAAAGUUACAACUGUGCCCUCUCCAGCAAAGUCUGGAUCUCAGCCAGCCCUAAGAGUGUGUCUGUGUCUUGGAGGAGCUCUUUUUGAGAUGCUGUAUCUCAGCCCUAGGGUUAGUGCAAGCCCAGAGGCAGUCUAUACCCCAACUCAACUGGCUGGUCCUCAAUGCUGCCUGCUUCCGUGCCCAACUUAGAACUACACAUCUGCUGCCUCUUGGUAACAUGUCAUUAUAAGCCCGAAGUGGACAAAAGCAAGUGAAGGCAUUCAAACAAAUCAUUCAAAGUUGGAAACAGGGUUUGAUGGGACAUCUAUAGCAUGUAGAAAUAUUUAUGAAAAAUGGGGAAAGGCCUGCAGGGAGCACAGUGGGGCGAUUCCUUAUAAAAUCACUUGGAAGUGCUGGGGGCUUCUUCAUCAGCCCUAACCCUGCCAACCACUCCUGCCUCACUGAAUGUGCCAACGGAUUGCUCAGCUCCAACCAAGGAAAAGAAGAAGGAAGUUGGAUACUUUAUACCCUCUACAUUGUCCAUUAGCAACACAACCUAGAGCUAGGAUGGAGAAAGAAAAUGCCAAAAUGCUAAUGAAAAAUGUUCAGAUGUAUCACAUAUUAAGCAUACAUGAUCUCAAAUAUUUUGCCUGAUUUAUGCUAUGCAUGCUAUUUUCCAUGUUGUGUAGGCUCUGAUGCUAGUCUACAUUUACAGAAAUCUCCAUCAGCUGUACAAAUGGCAAUUUAAAUACAUUUAACUAUGUGCUAAUAAUCUCAUAAUACAAUUUAUCAUGUAUGAUUGGCAGAAGAAAUUAUUUGGGGCAAAAGCUAUGAUUGUAUUGUUGUAAGUUAUUAUGAAUGCUGGGCAGUGUAGGGCAUGGCACUUGCUACCACCUCCCAGAAAUGUGUAAGGGCUGUUGAAGGUGCCUUGUUCUUCUUUCUUCUUCAAUAUAAGCAAAGCUAUUUAUAUCAUAAAGCUGAAACUUGAAAUUCCA
rnacentral:lncRNA from 1 species